rnacentral:rRNA from 1 species
GAUGAACGCUGGCGGCGUGCCUAAUACAUGCAAGUCGAGCGAACGGACGAGAAGCUUGCUUCUCUGAUGUUAGCGGCGGACGGGUGAGUAACACGUGGAUAACCUACCUAUAAGACUGGGAUAACUUCGGGAAACCGGAGCUAAUACCGGAUAAUAUUUUGAACCGCAUGGUUCAAAAGUGAAAGACGGUCUUGCUGUCACUUAUAGAUGGAUCCGCGCUGCAUUAGCUAGUUGGUAAGGUAACGGCUUACCAAGGCAACGAUGCAUAGCCGACCUGAGAGGGUGAACGGCCACACUGGAACUGAGACACGGUCCAGACUCCUACGGGAGGCAGCAGUAGGGAAUCUUCCGCAAUGGGCGAAAGCCUGACGGAGCAACGCCGCGUGAGUGAUGAAGGUCUUCGGAUCGUAAAACUCUGUUAUUAGGGAAGAACAUAUGUGUAAGUAACUGUGCACAUCUUGACGGUACCUAGUCAGAAAGCCACGGCUAACUACGUG